ensembl:lncRNA
GAUUUUUCAACAUGUCGUAAAAACGUGCCAUAUGAUGAAAUAAUGUAAAGGAGACCGUGAAAAACACUAUGGUAAGGUUUUCUUUGAAAAAAAAAAUCAUCAUGAAUUUUGGCGCAAAAAAAACGCCUUACUAUACUAUGUCGAAAAAAAAUGCGAUUUUUCAACAUGUUGUAAAAACGUGCCAUAUGAUGAAAUAAUGUAAAGGAGGCUGUGAAAAACACUCCAGAAAGAUUUUCUUUGAAAAAAAAAUCAUCAUGAAUUUUGGCGCAAAAAAAACGCCUUACUAUACUAUGUCGAAAAAAAAUGCGAUUUUUCAACAUGUUGUAAAAACGUACCAGAUGAUGAAAUAAUGUAAAGGAGGCCGUGAAAAACACUCCAGAAAGGUUUUCUUUGAAAAAAAAAUCAUCAUGAAUUUUGGCGCAAAAAAAACCCCUUACUCUACUAUGUCGAAAAAAAUACACGAUUUUUCAACAUGUCGUAAAAACGUGCCAUAUGAUGAAAUAAUGUAAAGGAGACCGUGAAAAACACUCCAGAAAGGUUUUCUUUGAAAAAAAAAUCAUCAUGAAUUUUGGCGCAAAAAAACGCCUUACUAUACUAUGUCGAAAAAAAUACACGAUUUUUCAACAUGUCGUAAAAACGUGCCAUAUGAUGAAAUAAUGUAAAGGAGACCGUGAAAAACACUCCAGAAAGGUUUUCUUUGAAAAAAAAAUCAUCAUGAAUCUUGGCGCAAAAAAAACGCC